rnacentral:rRNA from 1 species
AAAUUGAAGAGUUUGAUCAUGGCUCAGAUUGAACGCUGGCGGCAGGCCUAACACAUGCAAGUCGAGCGGUAGCACAGAGAGCUUGCUCUCGGGUGACGAGCGGCGGACGGGUGAGUAAUGUCUGGGAAACUGCCUGAUGGAGGGGGAUAACUACUGGAAACGGUAGCUAAUACCGCAUAACGUCGCAAGACCAAAGUGGGGGACCUUCGGGCCUCAUGCCAUCAGAUGUGCCCAGAUGGGAUUAGCUAGUAGGUGGGGUAACGGCUCACCUAGGCGACGAUCCCUAGCUGGUCUGAGAGGAUGACCAGCCACACUGGAACUGAGACACGGUCCAGACUCCUACGGGAGGCAGCAGUGGGGAAUAUUGCACAAUGGGCGCAAGCCUGAUGCAGCCAUGCCGCGUGUGUGAAGAAGGCCUUCGGGUUGUAAAGCACUUUCAGCGGGGAGGAAGGCGUUAAGGUUAAUAACCUUGGCGAUUGACGUUACCCGCAGAAGAAGCACCGGCUAACUCCGUGCCAGCAGCCGCGGUAAUACGGAGGGUGCAAGCGUUAAUCGGAAUUACUGGGCGUAAAGCGCACGCAGGCGGUCUGUCAAGUCGGAUGUGAAAUCCCCGGGCUCAACCUGGGAACUGCAUUCGAAACUGGCAGGCUAGAGUCUUGUAGAGGGGGUAGAAUUCCAGGUGUAGCGGUGAAAUGCGUAGAGAUCUGGAGGAAUACCGGUGGCGAAGGCGGCCCCCUGGACAAAGACUGACGCUCAGGUGCGAAAGCGUGGGGAGCAAACAGGAUUAGAUACCCUGGUAGUCCACGCCGUAAACGAUGUCGAUUUGGAGGUUGUGCCCUUGAGGCGUGGCUUCCGGAGCUAACGCGUUAAAUCGACCGCCUGGGGAGUACGGCCGCAAGGUUAAAACUCAAAUGAAUUGACGGGGGCCCGCACAAGCGGUGGAGCAUGUGGUUUAAUUCGAUGCAACGCGAAGAACCUUACCUGGUCUUGACAUCCACAGAACUUUCCAGAGAUGGAUUGGUGCCUUCGGGAACUGUGAGACAGGUGCUGCAUGGCUGUCGUCAGCUCGUGUUGUGAAAUGUUGGGUUAAGUCCCGCAACGAGCGCAACCCUUAUCCUUUGUUGCCAGCGGUUCGGCCGGGAACUCAAAGGAGACUGCCAGUGAUAAACUGGAGGAAGGUGGGGAUGACGUCAAGUCAUCAUGGCCCUUACGACCAGGGCUACACACGUGCUACAAUGGCAUAUACAAAGAGAAGCGACCUCGCGAGAGCAAGCGGACCUCAUAAAGUAUGUCGUAGUCCGGAUUGGAGUCUGCAACUCGACUCCAUGAAGUCGGAAUCGCUAGUAAUCGUAGAUCAGAAUGUUACGGUGAAUACGUUCCCGGGCCUUGUACACACCGCCCGUCACACCAUGGGAGUGGGUUGCAAAAGAAGUAGGUAGCUUAACCUUCGGGAGGGCGCUUACCACUUUGUGAUUCAUGACUGGGGUGAAGUCGUAACAAGGUAACCGUAGGGGAACCUGCGGUUGGAUCACCUCCUUA